rnacentral:snRNA from 1 species
GGAAGAGACCCUCAGGNNNNNNNNNNCUGUCACCCCAUUGAUCGCCAGGGUUUAUUUGGCUGGUCUGGCUGGCUAGGCCGGUGUCCCAUUCUUCCCUCACCGCUCCCUGUGCAUCCCUCCUGAAGCUGCGCACUUGGUCGAAGAGGAUGACCUUACCUGAUAGAGGUGUACCGUUUGUUGGUCAAGGGUGUACAGUAGCUGCACUCCCCUGCUAGAACCUCCAAACAAGCUCAAGCAUGUACUGCUGCCUGUUUUUUACCCAAGUGUCGUGAAGGGCCUGAUUCCACACUCAAGUUAGAGAUUUUGGGCUACUUUU